AUACGGAGGGUGCGAGCGUUAAUCGGAAUUACUGGGCGUAAAGCGUGCGUAGGCGGUUGAUUUAGUCAGAUGUGAAAGCCCCGGGCUCAACCUGGGAACUGCAUUUGAAACUGGUCAACUGGAGUAUGGUAGAGGGGGGUAGAAUUUCUGGUGUAGCGGUGAAAUGCGUAGAUAUCAGAAGGAAUACCGAUGGCGAAGGCAGCCCCCUGGACCAAUACUGACGCUCAGGUACGAAAGCGUGGGGAGCAAACAGGAUUAGAAACCCCAGUAGUCC
rnacentral:rRNA from 1 species